CUCCUGGACAUGCGGCGCGAACGAGGCUGUGAGAGAGCUUGCUCACAACCUUGAUCUUCUGCCUCUGCUGCACACCGCUUGCAACCGCGGCAACGAGCUCAGCUUCGGUGGUUGGUUUUGCAGGGUGCAGGCACUGCUCCCGCUCCCGCAGCUGAUUGGGAGAAUUGCUACCGCGGAGCUGCAGCAGAGAAGCAGGAUCAUCACCCACACACCUGGAAGAACACUCCAUGCUCUGGUCAGCCUCAUUGCGGUGCUGGUCGCUGCUGUGGAAGCAUACAAACAACUGGCUGGCAGCCUGACUGGACCGGCUGGCUCGACGUCGCUUAUCCAUUCUGAGGCGUAUAAAAAGCUGACUUUUACAGGCAAAAGCGUGUGGGGGCCAAAGAACUCUACGGAGAUAAGAACACUUAAAUGACAGGAAGAACUCUAGAGCGUCAAGGAACUCAUGCUCUUCAUAAGGAUUUCCAUCCAGAAGCGGAGGAUAUACAGUCGCUGUUGAGUGGUGGAUUGUGACAAUCACCGAUCAAACAAAAGGGAUUCGGAUUCUUGCUUUCAGUUGGCGUAAGCAACUGGAAAUUCUGCAAGCGGUCAGGAAGUGGACGAUGGCUGUGGCUGGCCGCCGGGUUGCUCGCUUGCAGAAACAGCGACACAAUCUUUGAGAACACGCGAGAUUCGAAGUCAUGGCUCUCGCGUAUCGAAUGUCGUGCACGGCCGUAAAGACUCGCUCGUUUUCUAUGUGGAGCUUCCUUCCAGGAAACUUGGAAAGUGCCGCUUACAUUAAUUACUGAGCUUUGUAUUUUGCAAUUCAAAGAAUAAUCAAAAUGAUUUUCAUUA